AUUGAACGCUGGCGGCAUGCCUUACACAUGCAAGUCGAACGGCAGCACGGGGCAACCUGGUGGCGAGUGGCGAACGGGUGAGUAAUGCAUCGGAACGUACCUUUCAGUGGGGGAUAACGUAGCGAAAGUUACGCUAAUACCGCAUAUUCUGUGAGCAGGAAAGCAGGGGAUCGCAAGACCUUGCGCUGAUUGAGCGGCCGAUGUCAGAUUAGCUAGUUGGUGAGGUAAAGGCUCACCAAGGCGACGAUCUGUAGCGGGUCUGGGAGGAUGAUCCGCCACACGGGAACUGAGGAACGGUCCAGACGCGUACGGGAGGCAGCAGUGGGGAAUUUUGGACAAUGGGGGCAACCCUGGUCCAGCCAUGCCGCGUGAGUGAAGAAGGCCUUCGGGUUGUAAAGCUCUUUCGGCCGGGAAGAAAUCGCACGGGCUAAUACCCUGUGUGGAUGACGGUACCGGAAUAAGAAGCACCGGCUAACUACGUGCCAGCAGCCGCCGUAAGAC
rnacentral:rRNA from 1 species